rnacentral:rRNA from 1 species
AUUGAACGCUGGCGGCAUGCCUUACACAUGCAAGUCGAACGGUAACAGGUCUUCGGAUGCUGACGAGUGGCAAACGGGUGAGUAAUACAUCGGAACGUGCCUAGUAGUGGGGGAUAACUACUCGAAAGAGUGGCUAAUACCGCAUGAGAUCUACGGAUGAAAGCAGGGGAUCGCAAGACCUUGUGCUACUAGAGCGGCCGAUGGCAGAUUAGGUAGUUGGUGGGAUAAAAGCUUACCAAGCGGACGAUCUGUGGCUGGUCUGAGAGGACGAUGAGCCGCACUGGGACGGAGAGACGGCCACGAGUCCUACGGGAGGCAGCAGUGGGGAAGUUUGGACAAUGGGCGCAAGCCUGAUCCACCAAUGCCGCGGUCAGGAUGAAGGCCUUCGGGUUGUAAACUGCUUUUGUACGGAACGAAAAGCCCUGGGUUAAUACCCUGGGGUCAUGACGGUACCGUAAGAAUAAGCACCGGCUAACUACGUGCCAGCCGCCGCCGUAACAC